UACGUAGGGUGCAAGCGUUGUCCGGAAUUAUUGGGCGUAAAGAGCUCGUAGGCGGUCUGUCACGUCGGCUGUGAAAUCCCGAGGCUCAACCUCGGGUCUGCAGUCGAUACGGGCAAACUAGAGUAUUGCAGGGGAGACUGGAAUUCCUGGUGUAGCGGUGAAAUGCGCAGAUAUCAGGAGGAACACCGGUGGCGAAGGCGGGUCUCUGGACCGCCACUGACGCUGAGACACGAAAGCGUGGGUAGCAAACAGG
rnacentral:rRNA from 1 species